rnacentral:rRNA from 1 species
AUAGGUCAAGUUACUAAGAGCGCAGGGCGAAUGCCUUGGCACCAAUCGCCGAUGAAGGACGUGACAAGCUGCGAUAAGCUGCGGUUAGGAGCAAAUAUCCAUUGACCCGCAGAUUUCCGAAUGGGGAAACCCAUAUGAGGUAAAUGCUCAUAUACCGUUAACUGAAUCCAUAGGUUAACGGAGGGAGACGGGGUGAACUGAAACAUCUAAGUAGCCCCAGGAAGAGAAAUCAAACGAGAUUCCGUAAGUAGUGGCGAGCGAAAGCGGAAGAGGCCAAACCGUGAAACUUCGGUUUUGCGGGGUUGUGGACUGUAUAAGUGACUUGGAAUCUAGCAGAAGAGUACAUGGAAAGGUACCGCCAUAGCGCGUAAGAGCCGCGUAUGCGAAAGAGGAAGAGAGCGACAGUAUCCAGAGUACCACGAGACACGAGGAACCUUGUGGGAAGCCGGGGGGACCACCCUCCAAGCCUAAAUACGAAUUGGUGACCGAUAGUGAAGAAGUACUGUGAAGGAAAGGUGAAAAGAACCCCUGGCGGGGAGUGAAAAAGAACCUGAAACCCUGUGUUUACAAGCAGUCGAAGAGCGUUAAAGCUCGACGGCGUACUUUUUGUAGAACGGUCCGACGAGUUAUGGCAGUAAGCGAGGUUAAGUACUUAAGGUACGGAGCCGAAGGGAAACCGAGUCUGAAUAGGGCGUUAAGUUUGCUGUUAUAGACCCGAAACCGGGUGACCUAUCCAUGAGCAGGUUGAAGGUGAGGUAAAACUCACUGGAGGACCGAACCGGUGUAAGUUGAAAAUUGCUCGGAUGACUUGUGGAUAGCGGAGAAAUUCCAAUCGAACUCGGAGAUAGCUGGUUCUCCUCGAAAUAGCUUUAGGGCUAGCCUCGUAUAUGUAGCGUGGAGGUAGAGCACUGAAUUGUCUAGGGGCCUACACAGGUUACCGAAACUUAUCAAACUCCGAAUGCCGCGUGAUUUAAGUACGGGAGUCAGACAGCGACAGAUAAGUGCCGUUGUCAAAAGGGAAACAGCCCAGAUCGCCAGCUAAGGUCCCAAAAUCAUAGUUAAGUGGAAAAGGAUGUGGAUUUGCUAAGACAGCUAGGAUGUUGGCUUAGAAGCAGCCACUCAUUUAAAGAGUGCGUAAUAGCUCACUAGUCGAGUGAGUCUGCGCCGAAGAUAACCGGGGCUAAAACUAUGUACCGAAGCUGCGGAUCCUGAAAAGGAUGGUAGAGGAGCUUACUGUAGGCAGUUGAAGCACGAUCGAAAGGACGUGUGGAUGUAUCAGUAGUGAGAAUGUCGGAAUAAGUAACGAGAGACAAGUGAGAAUCUUGUCCGUCGAAAAUCCAAGGUUUCCUGGGGAAGGGUCGUCCUCCCAGGGUUAGUCGGGACCUAAGACGAGGCUGACAAGCGUAGCCGAUGGACAACAGGUUGAUAUUCCUGUACUGCCGAUACUCGUUAUCAGAGAGGCAGGGACGCAGAAGGAUAGUCGAAGCACACUGCAGGAAAUGUGUGUUCAAGUGUUGAGGAUAGAGUGGUAGUAAAGUACGCCACUUGUUUCUGGGGCACGAUGAGGAGGGAAAAUAAGUACCGAAGUCGAUGAUUUCACACUGACGAGAAAAGCUGCUAUCGAGAGUAGAGGUACCCGUACCGCAAACCGACACAGGUGGAUGAGGAGAGAAUCCUAAGACGAGCGGGAGAAGCGUUGUUAAGGAACUCGGCAAAUUAACCCCGUAAGUUCGCAAUAAGGGGAGCCUCGGAGCAAUCCAGGCCGCAGAGAAUAGGCCCAAUCAACUGUUUACCAAAAACACAGGUCUCCGCUAAAUCGUAAGAUGAAGUAUGGGGGCUGACGCCUGCCCGGUGCUGGAAGGUCACGGGAAUCUGUUAGAGCAAUCGAAGCAGUGAACUUAAGCCCCAGUAAACGGCGGCCGUAACUAUAACGGUCCUAAGGUAGCGAAAUUCCUUGUCAGGUAAGUUCUGACCCGCACGAAUGGCGUAAUGAGUUGGGCACUGUCUCGACAACGUACCCGGUGAAAUUGUAGUACUUGUGAAGAUGCAAGUUACCCGCGACUAGACGAAAAGACCCCAUGGAGCUUCACUGUAGAUUGUUACUGGGAUUCGAUAUUGUCUGUACAGGAUAGGUGGGAGACUUUGAAGUAGUGGCGUCAGUUGCUAUGGAGUCGCCGUUGGGAUACCACUCUGACAGUAUUGGGUCUCUAACCAGAACCCGUGAUCCGGGUUUGGGACAAUGGCAGUCGGACAGUUUGACUGGGGCGGUCGCCUCCUAAAAGGUAACGGAGGCGUCCAAAGGUCACCUCAGUACGGUUGGAAACCGUGCGUCGAGUGCAAAGGCAUAAGGUGGCUUAACUGCGAGACAGACAGGUCGAGCAGGUACGAAAGUAGGGCUUAGUGAUCCGGCGGUAGAAUGUGGAAUUGCCGUCGCUCAACGGAUAAAAGUUACCCUGGGGAUAACAGGCUGAUCUCCCCCAAGAGUUCACAUCGACGGGGAGGUUUGGCACCUCGAUGUCGGCUCAUCACAUCCUGGGGCUGAAUUAGGUCCCAAGGGUUCGGCUGUUCGCCGAUUAAAGUGGUACGCGAGCUGGGUUCAGAACGUCGUGAGACAGUUCGGUCUCUAUCUAUCGUGGGCGUAGGAAAUUUGAGGAGUGCUGUCCUUAGUACGAGAGGACCGGGAUGGACAAACCUCUGGUGUACCAGUUGUCACGCCAGUGGCACAGCUGGGUAGCUAUGUUUGGAUUGGAUAAACGCUGAAGGCAUCUAAGUGUGAAGCCAGCUUCAAGAUGAGAUUUCCCUCUUUUUGGUAAGGGCACUGGCAGACUACCAGUUGAUAGGCCGGGUGUGUAAGCAUAGAAAUAUGUUCAGCUGACCGGUACUAACGCCCGAGGACUUGACCAC